GUCCACGCCGUAAACGUUGUGCGCUAGGUGUGGGAGGUAUCGACCCCUCCCGUGCCGCAGCUAACGCAUUAAGCGCACCGCCUGGGGAGUACGCCCGCAAGGGUGAAACUCAAAGGAAUUGACGGGGGCCCCGCACAAGCGGUGGAGCAUGUGGUUUAAUUCGAGGCAACGCGAAGAACCUUACCCGGGCUUGACAUCUCCUGACCGCCCGUGAAAGCGGGUUUUCCCUUCGGGGACAGGAAGACAGGUGUUGCAUGGCUGUCGU
rnacentral:rRNA from 1 species